rnacentral:rRNA from 1 species
GUAGUCCAUGCCGUAAACGUUGGGCACUAGGUGUGGGGGACAUUCCACGUUUUCCGCGCCGUAGCUAACGCAUUAAGUGCCCCGCCUGGGGAGUACGGCCGCAAGGCUAAAACUCAAAGGAAUUGACGGGGGCCCGCACAAGCGGCGGAGCAUGCGGAUUAAUUCGAUGCAACGCGAAGAACCUUACCAAGGCUUGACAUGGACCGGACCGCCGCAGAAAUGUGGUUUCCCCUUUGGGGCCGGUUCACAGGUGGUGCAUGGUUGUCGUCAGCUCGUGUCGUGAGAUGUUGGGUUAAGUCCCGCAACGAGCGCAACCCUCGCCUCUAGUUGCCAUCAUUUGGUUGGGCACUCUAGAGGGACUGCCGGUGAUAAGCCGAGAGGAAGGUGGGGAUGACGUCAAGUCCUCAUGGCCCUUACGGGCUGGGCUACACACGUGCUACAAUGGCGGUGACAAUGGGCAGCUAACCCGCGAGGGUGAGCUAAUCUCCAAAAGCCGUCUCAGUUCGGAUUGCACUCUGCAACUCGAGUGCAUGAAGUUGGAAUCGCUAGUAAUCGUGGAUCAGAACGCCACGGUGAAUA